UGUGGGUAGGGAGAGGGUACUGGGAAGAGCUUGGAGCUGGAGGAUGCAGGUGGGGAGCGGAGGAGGUGGACCAGCUGGAUGGAUGACAGGCCUCCCUGGAGUCGGGCGGUGCAUGCAGAAGGACGAAGUCAAUAAAAUUGUACUGGUUCUGAUCUCUUCCUGGGGCUGGGACGUGUCCCUGGGGGCCUUCCCCAUGACCCCCCUGCAGCUUGUAUCUCCAUGCUGAAUGAGCAAAUAAAGGUGUUUCAGACCCCUCGCCUCCUGCGGGCUCUCACAUCUGAGAUUUCAUGGAGGCAGCUCCAUGGGAGGGCUGUUUGGGCUCAAAUCCCAGGGUGGUUAUUUAUAAAGCCAAAAAGCAAACACAUCUCUAGAGCAGCUCAGUUUGCUCUGUGCGUGACCCACGGCAUGGCUGGGGGGCAGCCAGUGGAGCUGCUCUGGAGAUGGACUUCCAUGGGAAGCUGUGGUGGGAAGUGCUGGGAAGCAUGGUGUGUGAAGUCCUCCCUCCGAGUCCUGCUGGCUUCCUUGUGAGGUGCUGCUCAGCAUGUUGGUGUUAGGACGGCGUUGCUAUCAUACUCCUAUCUUA